rnacentral:rRNA from 1 species
GAUGAACGCUAGCGGCAUGCCUAAUACAUGCAAGUCGAACGAGAUACAACUUUGUAUCUAGUGGCGAACGGGUGAGUAACACGUAUUUGAUCUACCCCCAAGUGGGGAAUAACAAUUGGAAACGAUUGAUAAUACCGCAUAUGACAUAAAUUCGUUUUUAUGUUGAAAGGAGCGUCAGCUUCGCUUGUGGAUGAGAAUGCGGCGUAUUAGUUAGUUGGUGGGGUAAUUGCCCACCAAGUCAACGAUGCUUAGCCGACCUGAGAGGGUGAUCGGCCACACUGGAACUGAGACACGGUCCAGACUCCUACGGGAGGCAGCAGUAGGGAAUUUUUCGACAAU